rnacentral:rRNA from 1 species
AUUGAACGCUGGCGGCAGGCUUAACACAUGCAAGUCGAGCGGGGGAAGGUAGCUUGCUCCCGGACCUAGCGGCGGACGGGUGAGUAAUGCUUAGGAAUCUGCCUAUUAGUGGGGGACAACAUCUCGAAAGGGAUGCUAAUACCGCAUACGUCCUACGGGAGAAAGCAGGGGAUCUUCGGACAUUGCGCGAAUAGAUGAGCCUAAGUCGGAUUAGCGAGUUGGUGAGGUAAAGGCCUACCCAGGCGACGAUCUGUAGCGGGUCUGAGAAGAUGAACCGCCACACUGGGACUGGGACCCGGCUCCGACUCCCUCGGGAGGCAGCAAUGGGGGAUAUUGGAGCAUGGGGGGAACGCCGAACCAGCCAAGCCCGGUUGGGGAAGAAGGCCUUACGGUUCUUAAGCACUUUAAGUGAGGAGGAGGCUACUUUAGUUGAUACCGUGCGAUUGUGGACGUUACUCGAAGAAUAAGCACCGGCUAACUCUGUG